rnacentral:rRNA from 1 species
UACAGAGGGUGCAAGCGUUGUUCGGAAUUAUUGGGCGUAAAGGGUGCGUAGGCGGUGCGGUAAGUCUGUAGUGAAAUCUCUGGGCUCAACUCAGAGUCUGCUAUAGAAACUGCCGUGCUUGAGUGUGGGAGAGGUGAGUGGAAUUCCCGGUGUAGCGGUGAAAUGCGUAGAUAUCGGUAGGAACACCAGUGGCGAAGGCGGUCUUCUGGAGCACUCUUGACGCUGAGGCGCGAAAGCUGGGGGAGCGAACGGG